UGGCGGGGAACAACUCAUGCUGAAUUUUGUGGGCUGGAGAUCCGAAUCAAAGCCAGCCCAAUAAAAGCUUCUUCUUCAACUAGAAAGUUAGAGUUUCUUCUUAAAAUUUUCUCGAGAAAAUCCUCUCACUGCUUUCAGUGCUUAUUGUCUCUUCAUUAUGAACCAAAUGAGGUAUACAGUUUCUUGGUCUUCCUCUUUAGUGCAUUCCAUGCUUGUAGAAUACAUCUCAUCUCCACCAUGAACAUUCUCUUUCAGAAAAGGAGAAUAUUGGCUGACGCUUUGGGAAAUUUCUGCUUGUCCUCAACUACUCUAUGUCGGAGAGUUCAUCUUCUUUAGGAUUCUUCAGUCUGCCAAGAUAGAUGUUGAACCCUAAACCCUUGCUGGC